rnacentral:lncRNA from 1 species
AUUUACAGUUGACCCUUGACACAUACAGAUUUUCUUCUGCCUCUGCCACCCCUGAGACAGCAUGAGUAACACCUCCUCUUCUCAGCCUACUCAACUGAAAACAAGUAUGAAGAUCUUUAUGAUCAUCCACUUCCACUGAAUGAACAGUAUUUUCUCAACACUUUUUUCUCUAGCUUAUGGAAUGUAUCUGCGGUACCAGUGGGUGAUGCGAAAAUGACAGUGUUCUCCUGGGAACAAGAUAACCAGCUUUAUUAUGUAAUUUUAUCUAGGGAUGGCUGCAUGUAUUUUAUCAACAUUUACUUCAAGCAAAUUAAAUUUGAAGCCUAGUAACAUCUCUGAAAGUUUAUGUCAUUUCAUUUUCU